UACGUAGGGGGCAAGCGUUGUCCGGAAUCAUUGGGCGUAAAGAGCGUGUAGGCGGCUCGGUAAGUCCGCUGUGAAAGUCCAGGGCUCAACCCUGGAAUGCCGGUGGAAACUGUCGAGCUAGAAUCCGGAAGAGGCGAGUGGAAUUCUUGGUGUAGCGGUGAAAUGCGCAGAUAUCAGGAGGAACACCAAUGGCGAAGGCAGCUCGCUGGGACGGUAUUGACGCUGAGACGCGAAAGCGUGGGGAGCAAACAGG
rnacentral:rRNA from 1 species